rnacentral:rRNA from 1 species
AACAAACGCUGGCGGCGUGCCUAAUACAUGCAAGUCGAACGGGGAAAGCUUUCGGGUGAGUACUAGUGGCGCACGGGUGAGUAACGCGUGGAUAAUCUGCCUUAGAGUGGGGAUAACUAGUCGAAAGAUUAGCUAAUACCGCAUAAGACCACAAGAACUGCGGUUCAAGGGGUCAAAGGUUUUUCGCUCUAAGAUGAGUCCGCGUAAGAUUAGCUAGUUGGUAGGGUAACGGCCUACCAAGGCGACGAUCUUUAACUGGUCUGAGAGGAUGAUCAGUCAAACUGGAACUGAGACACGGUCCAGACUCCUACGGGAGGCAGCAGUAGGGAAUAUUGCACAAUGGAGGAAACUCUGAUGCAGCGACGCCGCGUGAGUGAUGAAGGCCUUCGGGUCGUAAAGCUCUGUCGCAGGGGAAUAACACAAUGAAGGUACCCUGUAAGAAAGGAUCGGCUAACUUCGUGCCAGCCGCCGCAGUAAGAC